rnacentral:rRNA from 1 species
ACGGCUCAGUAACACGUGGACAACGUGCCCUUAAGUGGAGGAUAACCUCGGGAAAUUGAGGAUAAUACUCCAUAGAUCAUGGAAUCUGGAACGAUUCAUGGUUCAAAGUUCCGGCGCUUAAGGAUCGGUCUGCGGCCUAUCAGGUAGUAGUGGGUGUAACGUACCUACUAGCCUAUGACGGGUAUGGGCCUUGAGAGAGGGAGCCCAGAGUUGGAUUCUGAGACACGAAUCCAGGCCCUACGGGGCGCAGCAGUCGCGAAAACUUCACAAUGGGCGCAAGCCCGAUGAGGGAACUCCUAGUGCUAGCACUUUUGUGUUAGCUUUUCUUUAGCGUAGAUAACUAAAGGAAUAAGGGCUGGGUAAGACGGGUGCCAGCAGCCGCGGUAAUAC